GCGCCCUUAGCUCAGGGGUAGAGCGUUACAUUGACAUUGUAAAGGCCGUAGGUCCGAUUCCUACAGGGCGCACCA
rnacentral:tRNA from 1 species